UACGGAGGGGGCUAGCGUUGUUCGGAAUUACUGGGCGUAAAGCGCGCGUAGGCGGCUUUGUAAGUUAGAGGUGAAAGCCCGGAGCUUAACUCCGGAACUGCCUUUAAGACUGCAUCGCUAGAAUUGUGGAGAGGUGAGUGGAAUUCCGAGUGUAGAGGUGAAAUUCGUAGAUAUUCGGAAGAACACCAGUGGCGAAGGCGGCUGACUGGUCCGGUUCUGACGCUGAGGCGCGAAAGCGUGGGGAGCAAACAGG
rnacentral:rRNA from 1 species